rnacentral:rRNA from 1 species
GAUGAACGCUGGCGGCGUGCUUAACACAUGCAAGUCGAACGGGAAACCUUUUAUUGAAGCUUCGGCAGAUUUAGCUGGUUUCUAGUGGCGGACGGGUGAGUAACGCGUGGGUAACCUGCCUUAUACAGGGGGAUAACAGUCAGAAAUGGCUGCUAAUACCGCAUAAGCGCACAGAGCUGCAUGGCUCAGUGUGAAAAACUCCGGUGGUAUAAGAUGGACCCGCGUUGGAUUAGCUGGUUGGUGGGGUAACGGCCCACCAAGGCGACGAUCCAUAGCCGGCCUGAGAGGGUGAACGGCCACAUUGGGACUGAGACACGGCCCAGACUCCUACGGGAGGCAGCAGUGGGGAAUAUUGCACAAUGGGGGAAACCCUGAUGCAGCGACGCCGCGUGAAGGAAGAAGUAUCUCGGUAUGUAAACUUCUAUAAGCAGGGAAGAUAAUGACGGUACCUGACUAAGAAGCCCCGGCUAACUACGUG